UAAAACGUUCAUCCUUGGUGAUAUCAGAUCCUGCGUAGAAAACAUGUUCUACUGAGGACUCGCAGGCUGCUCUCUCGCCUUUGAGAUAAAAGAAAAGAAAAAUAAGCGUUGCCGAAUAUGCCAAAAUUACCUAAUGUUAAAAUUAUUGUGCUGGAUACUCUACACUGGCGCAGAUUUAAUUAUACAAAACCUUAUUGUAUUCUGCGCCACUAGAUGGCAUAUUUGGGGCAUACGGUUCCUGGGAGGAGAAGAAGAAGUGUAUGUUGUUGCUGCUAGCACGUACUCACUCUGCCUGCAGUGGAUUGUUUUAUUCCGUGUCAAUUUAAAACUACUUCACUAAAUGUAUUACCUUUACACCGAGCCUCUUCAUUGCCUACUACAAAGCAACUUUAUGCACCAGUUCGUCACUGAUGGCUCAUCAACGCGGCGGCAUCCUCCUCAUGGCACAGGUUCAUCAGAGUCAGGUGGUCAGCACCCAAACUAAAACCAUGAGUCAUGGUGAAGAAGGAUGAGACUGUUCUAUGUGCCCAGGGUUCGUCAGGAUGGUGUAGAAUUGCAUCCUAGCAGCACAGGUAAAUAAAUGAAUAGUGAGUUGUGAUAAAUAUUAUUUAGCCUACUGGCUGGCAUCACAUUUUUAAAUUCAGACAACAUAGUGCUACAUCCUGUAAUUAAUUCAAUCAGUACUGUAACAGUACAGGAGUUAGACAAUGAAACAUCUUGGUGUCGGAAGCUGACGCAGAGUGUGAAGGUUCAAUUAGCAGGGUAAUAAGAGUUCUCACAGUUCUCUUCAAAAUAUUGCAAUGCACACAACAUAAUGGGUUAAAAAUUUUGAAAUUCUUGGUGGGCUAUCCAAGGUUAUGUCUGCAUACCACCAAGAUGAACCACAUCCAACAGGAUUAACUGUGGACGCAUGUCUGAUCAUCCUUCUUGUUGGUAUGCAGAUAUUACCUUGGAUACCGUGGCUCUUAAUAAAUCAUAAAGACUUGUUAUCUUGGUCAAAUAUGCACCAGAAUUUUUUUUAAUGUUGGUUUGUCACCCAUGCUGUUAUGUGCUUUGCUCUUUCCCCGUUAUUUGAGCCUUCACACACUGCUCUUUAGUGCAAUGUGCAAUUAAUGUACACUGGCCACCAAGGUGGUCCAAUUUAUCCAUGAAACUUCCCACACCAAAAUGUCAGAUGUUUUCAUUGUCUAACACAUGUAUAUUACAAUGCAUUACCAUAUUAAUUUAAAUAACAUGUUUUCCUUUUUUAUCAGCACAGGAAGCCAUCAUGAAGAAGUUGCCUGAGAGGCUUCGCUUAGGCUUUGCCAGCGCCUCACCAGAGUGUUUAUGGGUAGUACGAGAGAGGAAUCUCGCCACUUUUUCCGGGUGGUACUGUCCACUAAGUGGCGCCAUCCAGACAGCGCAGAGGAGGGCCAAGGAGCGCAGAGGCUGUUAGAAUGAAUAGGGUCCCAUGGAGCUCAACCACAGAUGCUGCCAUUGCUUUGGGAAAGAAUUGGCAUCAUCGUUUCAUUUUAUUUUUCUAAAAGGCAGGAUAAAUUACCCUUUCAAACAGCACUUAGUUUGAAUGUUUAAACUCGGUGGAUCUUUGUAAAAUACAUAUUUAUUGUCAAUAUGACAUCACGAGUGGCUUCACACACUGCGUUUGGAUUGGUCGCCCGGCUGCAUUGCUGUGAUCACGACGGCCGUAAAGCAAUUUUGUUAGCAAGAUGCUAGCGGAGCCUGACUCAUAAAUGCCAAAGCUGUAAGAAAUCAGAAGGGCAUGACUCCCAGGUUAUUGUACAUUUCAUUUAAAUCCACAUUGGUUUCUCAGAACUUAAAGUAAUAUUGUCAAGUUUCAGCCGACAGCGAGCACAAUUGUCAUUUAUUAGCGCCAGCCUUAUGAGCUCUGCUGUCUCGACAGCGCUCCCUAGGUGAACUGCAGGCACGGGUUGGAGGGCGAGAUUGAACACUGUAUGUAAACCCACUGUGGCCUCACUAUCAGUGAUGCUUGUCUCCUUAUCCACCGUGCCUACCCCCACAUUCCUCCCUUGAUGCAUUCAUCUCCUGACCUGUACCUGUUGUGGGAGUAGUCAGUGAUGACACACAGUAGGUGUGAUAAUAACAUACAUGUAUAUGAAAUGAUGUCCGUCCAGGCAUUUCCUUUGGUAUUUUAUUGUACACAACUUAGAACAUGUUCUUUGUCUGUCUACAGUAUAUUGAGUCUAGUCUAAAACUAAUUACUCUAGUUCUAUUGUCUCCAGCAUAUGUACGUAUCCAGUUACAUGGGUAUUUUGGUGCCUGGAUUAUGCUGCAUGUAAGUAAUAUGAACUCGGGUCAGGAUACCACAGUAGUUCAGAGAACCAUUCAUUAAUAUAAAAUGCACAUGUGUUGUAUGUCCAUCUCAGGAUAGACGUCCCCUCGUAUCACCAUUGUAACCCUAAAAUGCAUGUGUAAUUUGUGUCUAAAAAUAAAGUCUAUGAACAACUGAA